rnacentral:lncRNA from 1 species
UCUCGUUCAUCCCCCCUAAAUCCUUGACACACGAAUUGGUCUGCAAAUUUCUGGAGAUCUUCUAUUAUUAUUACGCUCACUAUUUGUAGAAAAUCCUACGAAAUUUCAGUCCUAAAACCUACAGAAAAACCAAAAACAUAGAGAAGAAUUCAAGUUUUCCCAUCUUCCUCCUUCUGUUACACAUCUUUGCUAUACAAACUUGAUUCGCUGCUUGAUUUUCUUGUUCCACUACUGAGAGCUGCUGCUGCUCCUUCUUCCUCGACUGAACUCCCUCACCACCGGUAAUGGCCGGAAACUGGCGGCGGAAUUUCGUUUCGUCAAUGGAGUUCACUUCAAGCUCGUGGAGAGCUCAUUUGAAUUUGUAGUUUCAAGUCUGUCGUUCCAUUUACUGUAACAUUCCUGUUGAGAUCGAGUCUCGUUAAAGCCCGUUCGUAGGUCGCUAAAUCUGUUCGUUGAGUCUGUUCAGUUCCGUUCGAGAUUCCGGGGAGGUUCCGGCGCUGCUACGUUUUCUGUCCGAAUCGUGUUUGAUCGGCCGAGUUUCAAAACAGUAUUGUAAAGGUGCACUUUUCAAAUGGCGCUGCUACAUUUUCUGUCCGAGUCCGUGUUUGAUCGACCGAGUGUCGAAACAGUAUUGUAAAGGUGCACUUUUCAAAUUCUAUCUUGUUUCAUCUCAUUGUUUAGAUUGAGGAAGGAAUUAAAUUGGUUUGAUGUUAUGUUGGUUUGAUUGUAUUUGCAUGCGUUAGUUCCCUUAAUCUGUUAAGUGUCUUAAUAUUGCUCAUUAAAAAUGAUUAAAUGCAUGUGAUUUGCUGGUAGUUAUAUGUCAAAUAUACUUUACUUAUUAGUAUAUUUUUACUUUCGUUCUGUUGUCAUUAUAAGCUCAUAAAAAUCUGGUUAGUUUUCUUUAGUUAAUUUUUUGUUUCUUUUGAAAUAAUAUGAUUGCUCAUUGUUAAGUCUUGAUGCGUUUUAGCUUUCUUCUAUCAUGUUGGUUCUCACGUUUUAAUAGCAGUUGUCAUGAGAAAGUGUUCUCAUCUUUUUGGUAUCACUCCUGUUUACACAAUAUGAUCUCAUAUGAAUUUUUGUGUUCUUUAAUUAGGAUUCAAAGUUGAAAUGCAUUUGAAUGGAGCAAUGCAGACUGUCACUACUAAUAUGUAGUCGAUUUUGGCUAAUUUGAAACUGAAGGAAUAUUUGAUCGACCAAUUGAUCUACAUGUCAGCCUUAACAAAUGCAUUACUAGUAGUUGGGGUACAAAAGAAGUGAUUUGAGGUGUGCUGUGCCAAAUAAAAUUUCAAAAAAAUGCACGGCCUUCGCUUAAUUAAGUUUGAUUUAAUCCGUAGAACUCGGGAGAACCGUUUAGUGAAUUUCACGGUCUUCCCCAAAUAAAAUGGCGCUAGACUCUUUAGGCGCGAUUUAAUCAAAUUACUUUCUUAAACUCGGGUGCGCAUUGAUGCGACCCAAAUUCAAGUCUCGACGAAGUCGAAAUGUGUGUUCGACCACAGGUGCCUUGAUGGUGACGGAGUUAGAAAUGCGUUUUCAUGAUGUCGUAAUUCUUAUAAAACAAAUAACGAUCGUAAAAUGGUUCAAAAAUGGAGAUGAGUCUCACAGAACAAGAAUAAAUGUGGGGCCCUCAAUAAUUGGUUGUUAAAAAUGAUUAGAAUUUGG